rnacentral:tRNA from 1 species
GAAAGUUAGAAGCUUUCUUAUAGAAAUUUCUUU